rnacentral:rRNA from 1 species
UGGGACCGGGUGUGAGAGCAUGACCCGGCUCACUGGGACUGAGACACUGCCCAGACACCUACGGGUGGCUGCAGUCGAGAAUCUUCGGCAAUGAGCGCAAGCUUGACCGAGCGACGCCGCGUGCGGGAUGAAGGCCUUCGGGUUGUAAACCGCUGUCAGUGGGGAGGAAAUGCAUAGGGGUUCUCUCCUAUGUUUGACCUAUCCGCAGAGGAAGUCCGGGCUAAGUUCGUGCCAGCAGCCGCGGUAAGACGAACCGGACAAACGUUAUUCGGAAUUACUGGGCUUAAAGAGUGCGUAGGCGGCUUGGCAGGUUGGGUGUGAAAUCCCUCGGCUCAACCGGGGNAACUGCGCUCAAAACCGCCAGGCUUGANGGNAGACAGGGGUGAGCGGAACUGAUGGUGGAGCGGUGAAAUGCGUUGAUAUCAUCAGGAACACCGGUGGCGAAGGCGGCUCACUGGGUCUCUUCUGACGCUGAGGCACGAAAGCUAGGGGGAGCGAACGGGAUUAGAUACCCCGGUAGUCCUAGCUGUAACGAUGAGCACUGGUCGAGGGACUCC